AACAAGGCCCCUUUAGGGGCCAUCACAGUUAGGGAUUCACGGACAC
rfam:Canis lupus familiaris chromosome 18, whole genome shotgun sequence.